CGCGCGGGGGUGGGGCCGCUGGGCCCGGGGCCGCGCGGCCCGCGGCUGCUCCCCCGCCCCGCCCGCCCCGCCACCGCGCUCCCCGCCCGAGCGGGUGCUGGGAGGAGCGAAACCGGUUCCCGGGUCAGCCUACCCCAGGAUGUGGCAGAGGAGGGCUGGCCGAUACUCGGGGAGCCUGGGAAGGCAGCCGGCCUCUGCCCCGCGCGUCCGCGGGCCUCCGCACACGUGCACUCUUUCUGCAUUGCUAAUCAGGACCCCUAAGGAGCCUAGGUGGCGCUAGUCCCCUCUCUUGAAACCUUUGUAACUAUUAAGGCUGAAGUGCCAUUUAAAGAAAAAGGAAGGCAAAGAAAUGAGCUAUAGGAAGCCAUGAGUCUGUUACUGAGACAAGAGUAAGCUCAUCCUGCCCCGACAGCCGCAGAGUGAGUUGGCAUGACACGCCAUGAGAUGUUAUUAAUGAGUCAAAAAAGGUAACUUUAUAUUAGGUGGAGAGAACACCGUAAACCAGUAAACCAUUAAACCAGUGCUUCUCAGACUCCAGUGUGAUCCUCAUCUUGGGAUCUCGAUACAUUGUGGGCGUCGAUUCAGUAGGGGCUGGGUGGGCCCUGAGAUGCUACAAUAGAGAAGCCCCAGGAGACGCCCAGGACCCCUCCUGGAGGAGGCAGGCUGCAGAGAACUCUUCUACAAAGAAAUUCACGCAAUUACAGUGUUACUUGCUUUGUCAUCAUUUCCGGAAAUUGAAUGGCAUUGGGGUAACUAAACCAAGUCACUUGCUUUGCAAAUGGAAGUAGAAAGAAUGAGCCAAUUUAAAGCUUCAAGGACUCCUUUAUGAUUUUUUUAAAAGUAAUCUCUACCCCCAGUGUGGAGUUUGAACUCAACCGUGAGAUCUAGAGUCGCACGCUGUGAGGCAGCCGACUCUUGACUUCGGCUCAGGUUAUGAUCUCAGGGUCUUGGGAUCCAGCCCCACGUCAUGCUCCCUGCUCAAGGAUUCUCUCUCUCCCUUGGCACCCCCUA